GCCACUAGAGCUCAGAGAGCAUCGGCUUUGUAAGCCGAAGGGGAUAAGUGUGGCA
rnacentral:tRNA from 1 species